rnacentral:lncRNA from 1 species
GCACAUGUAACGACAGAAACACUCAGCAGGGAAAUUCAAAACCCUCAUGGAGAUAGCUUCAUAGAUGGGAAAUACCGUCCGUAAGGACGGCGGAGACGAUGUGCCCGCCGGAUCUCAGAGUGGAGACGAUGAUCCCCUGGGCGCGAACGGAGGAACGUAAUCUUCUUUCUCUCAGUCCAGCGAGAGAGCCAUCCCAGAUCCCGGCGUCGCCCGCCGCCGACCAGGUGAAGGGAACCCCGUGGCCGGUUUUUUUAGUACUGCCACGUCAGGGGGGGCCCACAUCAACACGUCAGCAGUAAAAUUUAACGUGAAAGUACGUC